rnacentral:rRNA from 1 species
AUUGAACGCUGGCGGCAUGCCUUACACAUGCAAGUCGAACGGCAGCACGGGUGCUUGCACCUGGUGGCGAGUGGCGAACGGGUGAGUAAUACAUCGGAACAUGUCCUGUAGUGGGGGAUAGCCCGGCGAAAGCCGGAUUAAUACCGCAUACGAUCUACGGAUGAAAGCGGGGGCCCUUCGGGCCUCGCGCUAUAGGGUUGGCCGAUGGCUGAUUAGCUAGGUGGUGGGGUAAAGGCCUACCAAGGCGACGAUCAGUAGCUGGUCUGAGAGGACGACCAGCCACACUGGGACUGAGACACGGCCCAGACUCCUACGGGAGGCAGCAGUGGGGAAUUUUGGACAAUGGGCGAAAGCCUGAUCCAGCAAUGCCGCGUGUGUGAAGAAGGCCUUCGGGUUGUAAAGCACUUUUGUCCGGAAAGAAAUCCUUGGCCCUAAUACGGUCGGGGGAUGACGGUACCGGAAGAAUAAGCACCGGCUAACUACGUG